UGUAUUUCAGCACGUCAGAAUGGUCUCAGCUGUCAUUUUGGGAAAAGAAGAGGUACAAGAGGAUGAAAAGAAACUACCUCUUCAUGCAAUCAAUAGGUCUGUCGUCUCAAGCUCCAGAGUUCAUGAGGAAGAGGGGCGGGACUAAAAGACAGAGGGCCACGCCCCCACCACCGACUGAUAGCAGUGACUCUGAAGAAGAGGAAUGGACACCCAGCAUGGAGAGACCACGACCAGCCUCUCUCUCCUUCAGGCCUCCUACCAGAGUACCUGCUAGACACACGACACCACAG